GGAAGGGCCAUAGAGUAGCUUAGCGGUAGAGCAUCUGCUUUGCAUUCAGAAGGCCACAGGUUCGAUCCCUGUCACUUCCA